GGGAACCCGGGCCUGGCACGGACCAGACGCUGCCGCCGCUGCGAGCCGGGAUCCGGCCGGGAAGCUGCUGCGGCUCCCGGGCUGCAGAACAACUCCACAUUUCACUCCAGCUCCUCCCGUCCUCCCAUGGCACAGGGCAGAGAAAUGGCUGCAGCGGAGCCAGUUCAGGGGCCAGUGACCUUCGAGGAGGUGGCUGUGUAUUU